UACGAAGGGGGCUAGCGUUGUUCGGAAUUACUGGGCGUAAAGCGUGCGCAGGCGGCUUCUCAAGUCAGGGGUGAAAGCCCAGAGCUUAACUCUGGAAUUGCCUUUGAGACUGAGAGGCUUGAGUACGGGAGAGGUGAGUGGAAUUCCCAGUGUAGAGGUGAAAUUCGUAGAUAUUGGGAAGAACACCGGUGGCGAAGGCGGCUCACUGGCUCGUUUCUGACGCUCAGGCGCGACAGCGUGGGGAUCAAACAGG
rnacentral:rRNA from 1 species